GAUGAACGCUGGCGGCGUGCCUAAUACAUGCAAGUCGAGCGAACAGACGAGGAGCUUGCUCCUCUGACGUUAGCGGCGGACGGGUGAGUAACACGUGGAUAACCUACCUAUAAGACUGGGAUAACUUCGGGAAACCGGAGCUAAUACCGGAUAAUAUAUUGAACCGCAUGGUUCAAUAGUGAAAGACGGUUUUGCUGUCACUUAUAGAUGGAUCCGCGCCGCAUUAGCUAGUUGGUAAGGUAACGGCUUACCAAGGCAACGAUGCGUAGCCGACCUGAGAGGGUGAUCGGCCACACUGGAACUGAGACACGGUCCAGACUCCUACGGGAGGCAGCAGUAGGGAAUCUUCCGCAAGGGGCGAAAGCCUGACGGAGCAACGCCGCGUGAGUGAUGAAGGUCUUCGGAUCGGAAAACUCUGUUAUUAGGGAAGAACAAAUGUGUAAGUAACUAUGCACGUCUUGACGGUACCUAAUCAGAAAGCCACGGCUAACUACGUG
rnacentral:rRNA from 1 species